UACGUAGGGGGCUAGCGUUGUCCGGAAUCAUUGGGCGUAAAGCGCGUGUAGGCGGUCCGGUAAGUCCGCUGUGAAAGUCGGGGGCUCAACCCUCGGAUGCCGAUCGAUACUGUCGGGCUAGAGUCCGGAAGAGGCGAGUGGAAUUCCUGGUGUAGCGGUGAAAUGCGUAGAUAUCGGGAGGAACACCAGUGGCGAAGGCGGGUCUCUGGACAGUUCCUGACGCUGAGGCACGAAGGCCAGGGGAGCAAACGGG
rnacentral:rRNA from 1 species